AGCGAACGCUGGCGGCAGGCUUAACACAUGCAAGUCGAACGCCCCGCAAGGGGCGUGGCAGACGGGUGAGUAACACGUGGGAACGUACCCUUUGGUUCGGAAUAACUUGGGGACAGUCCAGCUAGUACAGGAUAAGCCCUUAUGGGGAAAGGUUUACUGGCGAAGGAUCGGCCCGCGUCUGAUUAGCUAGUUGGUGAGGUAAUGGCUCACCAAGGCGACGAUCAGUAGCUGGUCUGAGAGGAUGAUCAGCCACACUGGGACUGAGACACGGCACAGACUCCUACGGGAGGCAGCAGUGGGGAAUAUUGGACAAUGGGGGCAACCCUGAUCCAGCCAUGCCGCGUGAGUGAUGAAGGCCUUAGGGUUGUAAAGCUCUUUUACCCGGGACGAUAAUGACUGUACCGGGAGAAUAAGCCCCGGCUAACUUCGUGCCAGCCGCCGCAGUAA
rnacentral:rRNA from 1 species